UUAAAUCCACUGAGGUCCUAUUGCGCUAUACAAAGACCCUGGAAGAAUUGCUAAGUGAGUCUUCACAUAUUACUGAGAACCUGAGAGCUUGGAAUAGCUGGCAGGCCUCAGGAAAGCAGACAAGAUUUUCUUGCAGAUGUCCUCUCUAGACAAUUGUCUCUAGACAUGAGGAGACUCAAGCUGUAUUGCAUGGGCAGAAGAGCAGGGCCUCCUUGUGGACACCUAGGAAGAUACCAAGGUCAAAGAUCCCACUAUACUCAGGGUGUGCCCAAGAGUAGUGAUAUUAGUCCCUGAGAAUCCUUAUACAUGGGUCCAGGUUUAGCCCUCAUAGAGGAUGACAUAGGGACACUCAGGAAGAAGUACAGGGUUACACUGAAAGUAAAGGGAGGAAGCCUGCCCUGAAAUGCUUUCUCCUAGCAGUUGCAGGAGAAGAGAGAGGGAGGAAUUACUUAGAGUCAGUGAGUGUUUAGGACUGAGCUGGUCACUUCAACUUCUGGGUUUGAGUAUAAAUACAGAUACUCAGAGACAUUCUCUGACUUUUAUGUUAAUAGUCCACCAUAACGAGUUCACUGACAUUGCCCUACGAAUUCCACAGGAGGAAAAGCAAGCAUUUUUGAAGAGUAAUGUACAUUCUAAGGAGUGCAGGUUCAAAUCAGUGUCUGGGUAGAGGUCAAACAACAAAUGAGAUUUCUGUGUCUCCUCGUUCAGCAGCCUGCUGCCCCCUUUGAUCUCCUGAAUCAAUUAUUCCUCCCAUUGCAUCUUCCCAAUUCUUUUUUAAAGACUACACAUUGUUUCCAGACAAAUCUCUGUUUCAUGAUAUUGUCCACUGCGUCCAGUAGACUGCUUCAUACUCCAGCAUGAAAUGGAUGUAAUUUGAAAUGCUAUCUUAAUCAGUUGUGACGAGUGAUAUGCCUAGGAUGUAAGCCUGGGAAUAUUGGCAUUUCAUAGAGAAUCUGUACUUUUCCCUCUCCAGAGUCUGACUUAUGUCCACAAUAGAAAUCACUUUGUCUGUGGUAGGCUAGUUUUGUAGACUGAAGCACUUUUUAAUCUCUAUAGGACUGCUUCUGAGUGUGGGUGGGCUUUGUUCAGGCAUCUUUUUCCGUCAUGUUUUCUCCAGGGACCAGAGGAAAAUGCAUUUGCAAUUAGUACUCAUCAGGUGACACAUGAGCCGAUGCCCAGGGACAUCCCUCUCUGGACUACAGAGGCUGUCCUUCUCUUGGUUUUCAUAUGACGGGGGCUUCAUUCUAUCAGCACUUCAGUGCAUGCUAAACUCACAAGCUACAGACAGGAGGCCUGUCUCUAAACACAAUUCCUAGGUGUGAAACGGUUUGCCAUUUCAAUCUUUGGAAGAAUCAAGAUGGAACUCUUUUGAACUGCAAGAGGUAAAACAACCCUGAGAGUCCUGCCUUCAUUCUAUCCUCUGCAGUUUGCAAACAGAUUGCAAGCACCUUAUUACCAAAAUGGCAAGGGAUCUGCUCCUGAACUUUGCUGCAGUUCGCAUAAAGGACAGCCACAGAGUGACACUGGGAGGCCUCACUGUAUCUGGGGCUCCAAUUCAUGAGACAGCAGAAGAAAAUGUUAAGCAUGGAGACAGUUUUCCCCAUGACAUUUCUUCAGAUAGGUGUGGUUCUAAACACAGCGGCCUGAGCAGGCAUGAACAGAAUCAGUGCUUCUUAAAUUAUUGGGAAAAAUUGAAGGACAAGAAAUUUUGAGGAUAGAAAAAUAUAUGGCCAUGGACCAAGUCUUUGUGAAGGCCUUCAGCCAAGCCCACAUUUAUGGCAUGAUCCAGUAGUAUUAAGUAUGUCUUCAUUAUUUUCUCAUACUGUCACUUCUGCACAUAUGACAUGUAUGUCAUAGAAGUCACAGCACAUGGGAGGCUGAGGUGAUGUGGCCUGGAUAGUUCUCACUUGGAAUAGUCUGUGACUUUUCCUCACUCAUCUUUGGUUUCUCAAUAUCUUCUAGCAGAGGCCUCUCUGGGGCAACUGGUCAAAAGUUGGUACAUGAGGGGGUUUAUCUGGCAAGGUAAGGGACAUGGAACUUUGUGGGUUCCUGUUAGGAUGUUGUCCUGCAGCUCACCCUGUGUGUUUCCUAUGCAGAGGAGGUGCGCUGCUCUCUUAUCCCAGAGAGCUUCCUGCCCAGACUGCACUCAACAUUACCAUUGCAUGACUCCCUCAGGACAAGGUCUGGGGCCCGGAAGGGUUCAGGUUCACAAGGUACAGCUCUAGCCUUUGGGAAGAACAAAGUCAAACACUUGAUACUGCUGUCUGCAUAAGCAGCUGGUUUGGGCUUUGUUUGGGGGUUGGGGGUAGUAUUGAAUGCCACUGCGGUCUCUUCAGAUAGUUUCUGUUCCCUUUCCUCACACAGUUAGCAAGGUUCUUCUGCCAGGAUUAAUAUUCAGUUACUUUUCUUUAACAUGACCCUUGAAAAUCGGAUUCAGAUGCUGGAGAACAUCAAUAU
rnacentral:sRNA from 1 species